rnacentral:misc_RNA from 1 species
UUGAAACAAAACUUGAUCUGGUUGCUGCUGGCUUUCACAAAGCAUGUGCACACCUGAUUGAUUUUUUAACCACCUGUGCAUCUUAUGUAGAUCUGAAACUUGUUCGAGACAAACUUCUCGGUUGGAGAAAUUGCUUUACAGCUUUUCUUGUACAUUUCAGGUCUAUGUUUUUCUACAUCAUCUCAAAUCAUGUGUCAGAAUGUAUCUUUUGAAAUAAAAAAUAAAAAUAAAA